UACGGAGGAUGCGAGCGUUAUCCGGAUUUAUUGGGUUUAAAGGGUGCGUAGGCGGGUUAUCAAGUCAGCGGUAAAAUCGUGGAGCUCAACUCCAUCCAGCCGUUGAAACUGAUGAUCUUGAGUGGGCGAGAAGUAUGCGGAAUGCGUGGUGUAGCGGUGAAAUGCAUAGAUAUCACGCAGAACUCCGAUUGCGAAGGCAGCAUACCGGCGCCCGACUGACGUUGAGGCCCGAAAGCGUGGGGAGCAAACAGG
rnacentral:rRNA from 1 species